rnacentral:rRNA from 1 species
GAUGAACGCUGGCGGCGUGCUUAACACAUGCAAGUCGAACGGAAAGGCUCCUGCUUGCAGGGGUACUCGAGUGGCGAACGGGUGAGUAACACGUGGGUGAUCUGCCCUGCACUUCGGGAUAAGCCUUGGAAACUGGGUCUAAUACCGGAUAGGACGAUGGUUUGGAUGCCAUUGUGGAAAGUUUUUCGGUGUGGGAUGGGCUCGCGGCCUAUCGGCUUGUUGGUGGGGUAAUGGCCGACCAAGGCGUCGACGGGUAGCCGGCCUGGGAGGGGGUACGGCCACAUUGGGACUGAGAGACGGCCCAGACGCCUACGGGAGGCAACGGUGGGGAAUAUUGCACAAUGGGGGCAAGCCUGAUGCAGCGACGCCGCGUGGGGGAUGACGGCCUUCGGGUUGUAAACUCCUGUCGCUAGGGACGAAGCGCAAGUGACGGUACCUGGAGAAGAAGCACCGGCUAACUACGUG